rnacentral:rRNA from 1 species
AUUGAACGCUGGCGGCAGGCCUAACACAUGCAAGUCGAACGGUAACAGGAAGAAGCUUGCUUCUUUGCUGACGAGUGGCGGACGGGUGAGUAAUGUCUGGGAAACUGCCUGCUGGAGGGGGAUAACUACUGGAAACGGUAGCUAAUACCGCAUAAUGUCGCAAGACCAAAGAGGGGGACCUUCGGGCCUCUUGCCAUCAGCUCUGCCCAGAUGGGAUUAGCUAGUAGGUGGGGUAACGGCUCACCUAGGCGACGAUCCCUAGCUGGUCUGAGAGGAUGACCAGCCACACUGGAACUGGGACACGGUCCAGACUCCUACGGGAGGCAGCAGAGGGGAAUAUUGCAAAAGGGGCGCAAGCCUGAUGCAGCUAGGCCGCGGGUAUGAAGAAGGCCUUCGGGUUGUAAAGUACUUUCAGCGGGGAGAAAGGGAGUAAAGUUAAUACCUAUGCUCAUUGACGUUACCCGCAGAAGAAGCACCGGCUAACUCCGG